rnacentral:rRNA from 1 species
UACGUAGGGGGCAAGCGUUGUCCGGAAUUAUUGGGCGUAAAGCGCGCGCAGGCGGUCAUGUAAGUCUGGUGUUUAAUCCCGGGGCUCAACCCCGGAUCGCACUGGAAACUGCGUGACUUGAGUGCAGAAGAGGAGAGUGGAAUUCCACGUGUAGCGGUGAAAUGCGUAGAUAUCUGGAGGAACAUCGGUGGCGAAGGCGGCAUCCUGGACCGGUAUUGACGCUGAGGCGCGAAAGCCAGGGGAGCAAACGGG